AAGUCGUAACAAGGUUUCCGUAGGUGAACCUGCGGAAGGAUCAUUAGUGAACAUAGGACGUCCAACUUAACUUGGAGUCCGAACUCUCACUUUCUAACCCUGUGCACUUGUUUGGGAUAGUAACUCUCGCAAGAGGGCGAACUCCUAUUCACUUAUAAACACAAAGUCUAUGAAUGUAUUAAAUUUUAUAACAAAAUAAAACUUUCAACAACGGAUCUCUUGGCUCUCG
rnacentral:misc_RNA from 1 species